CAAAGAAUAGUAACAAUGACAUCAGAGAAUAGAAAGGGAGAACUUAACUUAGAAAUCCCUGAAAAACAAACACUGAACUUGCAUUGAACAGUGACAUCUUCUUGUAGAUUCUAGUCCACUACCAUCAGAAAGGCUCCAUGGAGAAGUUCCCAAUUUGAAAAUUUGCUCACUAAAGUAACGUAAGAGGAAAAGCUGAAGUGUUCAGAACUUGUACUAGCAAAUCCCCUGAAGGUGACCUGGCUAAAGUGUUCAGUGACAGCAGAGCACCAUAACACCUGGCAGAUGAGAACAGAAGCCUGUCCUCCCAUCCUGUUAUAAAACGUAUAAAGAAGAUACUAGCCCAAUACAGCAAGAAUAUCAGAUGUCUGGUCAUCCAUGCCUUUUCUCUGUUCACAAGAAACAACAACAAAAAAACAGCUCUGCACAGAAUUGUGUGUAGUCUUGUGUGUUAACUAGCUCCUCAGAAAGAGAUCAGAAAUAACAACUCAGCACAAAAAUAAACUUUUGCCAAGGUUACAGUGAUGACUUACAUCUAACUCUUCUCCAGAGCUGCAAAAAUCACACUACUCAUAGACACAAGUUCAGAACCACUUGGAUGUUUACAUAAUCUAAGGCUUUAGUUAGCACAUUAGCAGGAAUGCUAUGUCAAUAUACAAGCAGAACAUUUUUUGGAGUAAGAUACUCUAAAAUUAUUGCUUCAGCAUUCCACUUAUAAAGUGAUGAUUUUUUUUUUUCAGACAGCGAAGUUAUCUUUGAUUUGGACCACAGAUCUAUUUUCUUGGGACAUCUAAUCUCAGAAUUUGGAUCAGCUUUAAAUUAAUCAGGACAUGAUUCACAUCCAGUAGGAGUCUGUACAGCACCAGAACUACAAAAUUAAGGUGGUUUAUCCAUGUCAACUACCUCUGCCCACUUUAAAGCCAAAGGAGGCAUUAGAAGUCAGACUAUCCUGAUUUUCAAGCUGCUUUCAUUUGCGUGAGUUGCUCAUACUAGAAGGAAGAAGAAAAUGAACAUUAUCACCUUGAAAAAAGCCCAGAUAUUACCAAUCAU